rnacentral:tRNA from 1 species
GGGGAUAUAGCUCAGUUGGUAGAGUGCUUGUCUUGCAUAUACAAGGCCCUGGGUUUGACUCCCAGCACCA